rnacentral:rRNA from 1 species
AGCAGCCGCGGUAAUUCCAGCUCCAAUAGCGUAUAUUAAAGUUGUUGCAGUUAAAAAGCUCGUAGUUGAAUUUCGGGGUUAGUAGGUUGGUCAUGCCUCUGGUAUGUACUGGUCUCACUGAUUCCUCCUUCCUGAUGAACCUUAAUGCCAUUAAUUUGGUGUUUUGGGGAAUUUGGACUGUUACUUUGAAAAAAUUAGAGUGUUUAAAGCAAGCUAACGCUUGAAUACAUUAGCAUGGAAUAAUGAAAUAGGACGUUCGAUCCUAUUUUGUUGGUUUCUAGGGUUGACGUAAUGAUUAAUAGGGAUAGUUGGGGGCAUUAGUAUUCAAUUGUCAGAGGUGAAAUUCUUGGAUUUAUUGAAGCUAACUACUGCGAAAGCAUUUGCCAAGGAUGUUUUCAUUAAUCAAGAACGAAAGUUAGGGAUCGAAGACGAUCAGAUACCGUCGUAGUCUUAACCAUUAAACUAUAGCCGACUAGGGAUCGGGCAUGUUAUCUUUUGACUCGCUCGGCACCUUACGGGA